CGGGCUUGUGUCUCUUUCUUCCUUCCGCAUUGCCCUUCAGCGUCCAGACCGCUCCCUAGCCCUGCCAGAGCUCGAAGAUGCUGGUUCUAUUGUCCGCGGACAGGGCGAUCUAAGCAAAUUGUUCAUGACUGCUGGUAAACAUGGAGAAAUUCAUAACUGCAUGUUUUAACUGGGAAAUAAUGCUGCGGGGCACAUGUCAACAGGAGUGGAAUUCCCAAACGUGAUAGCAGUCAGUUGCUCUCCAGUUGCCAUCACCUGACCAGCAGCGGAAGCAGCAGCAUCUCGGAACUUCUAAACAUGCAAAUUCUUGGGAUCAACCCCAGAUCUACAGAACCAGAAACUCGGGAUGGAAUCCAGCAUUCAUGUACUAACGAGUCCUUCAGGAGUUGCUGAUGGUGCGGAAGUUUGGGAGGUGAUCCAAGGCAGCUGACUGCAGAACCCCAAGGGCCCCCAAGGCUAGCGCUGGCUCAGUGGUGGACAGAGUCAGGGUCAAGAAGACUCUGGUGCACUUUCCAGCCCACUGGUAUGUGAAGCCAUGUCCUGGGGCUAGUGCUGGCCUACUGGUGGGCAGAGCUGGGUCCUGGAGUCUGGCUGCAGGGCCUAGGGGUUCCAGAUCUGGUAUCUGAUUGCUGGAAGGGGGGGCAGUUUCUGACACAGUUGAUAUGGGCCUUGGGGUAUCUCAAAGCUUGUGUUGGCCUGCUAGUAGCCAGGGUCAGGGCCCAGCUGGUCCCCGGGCUCCCAGCUGGUGGGCAUGCUGUGCUGCUGGCUGCAGGAUUGUGGGUUUCUUACGUCUGCUGUCUGCUCCCUGGUGGUCGAAGCUGGGCCAGAGGCUACAGCAGGCUUCCUGGAGGGCAGGGUGAGGGCCCACCUGCUCUGGGGCUGCUGCCUGCCCACUGGUGGGUGGAGCUGAUUCCUGGCUCUUUGGUGUGCAGAGGCAGCUAUAGGCUCAGUGAGUCUUAAGGCAGCCUGUCUGCUUAUGGGUGGGGCUGUGUUCCUGCCCAGUUAUUUGCUUGACCUGAGGCAUCCCAGCACUGGUGCCUAUAGGCUAUUGGGCCAAGAGAGGGCUGGAUCCUGGGGCUAAUAAGCUAGAGCAAGGGUUCCACAAUGGCAUUUGCCAGCACCAGUAUCCACACAGUAGAAGGAGCUCCUGAGAAGGUUUGCCACAGUGUGUGUGUCCCCAGGGUGAGCCACAUCAGCACCCUGCCUCUCUGUGAGACUCUCCAGGAUCAGCAGGUAGGUCUGAUCCCGGCUCCUAUCCGUUUACGGCUUCUGCCCUGGCUUCUGGAGUGUAUGAGAAUGUGUGUGCACCCUUUAAGAAUGAAGUCUCUGAUCCCCCAGCCCUUUUGUUUUCCCCAAACAAGCCCCACUGGCCUUCAAAGCAAAAUGCUCUGGAGGCUCUUCUUCCUCCAGGCUGGGGACCCUGACUCGGAUCAUUCACUCCUGUGGGAGAGUCUCUGCAAUGUAAUUAUUCUCCAGUUUGUGGGUCGCCCACUCAGGGCUAUGGGACUUGACUACAUCACCAGUCUACCCCUCCUACCUGUCUCGCCGAGGCUUGUACUUUGUGUCUUGAAGGUCUUUUCUGGUAGGUUCCAGUCUUUCAUCAGCGGCAAUUCUGCAAAUAUUUGUGAUUGUGAUGUGCCCUUGUGAGGAGAUGAGCUCAGGGUCUUUCGACUCCGCCGUCGUGCCCAGUCUCUUCCAGGUCAGUAGGUUUUAAUAAGCAGACUAAUUUGUUUUUUUCCAUCACUAUUAUUUGUUGUUUCCCAUUUGGUGCUUUAGCUCAUUCAUUUACUCAACGACUAUUUAUUUGAGGUCUAUUACAUGCUGGGGCCAAUUCUGGGUGUCAGAGCAGGGAACGAGGUAGGCAGGGUUGUUUCUCUCAUGGUGCUUACAUUGCAGUGGGAGUGGAGAUGGAAAAAAAUCACAUAAGGAUAUAAAUUAAUAUAGUAAUGAUUGCUUUAGAUAGAAAUAAAAAGGAAUAAGGUAACAGCCCCUGACUAUUUUAGAGCUGAUAAUCAGAAACAUCUUCUCUUAAGAAGUGACCUUUACGCAGACCAUAAGCCAGUUUAUAUAAGAUUUGGGAGAACAUUUCAGAUAGAAAGACAGCCGUCGCAAAUGUCAUGAGGUAGGGAUGAGUUUUCCUGGGCUCUGGAAACACAGAGAAGGUCAAAGUGGCCAAAGUAUAGUCAGUACAGUAGGCAGGUCAGCAAGGUCCUUCAUAUGGUCACGUGGUUAGGAAUCUGGAAUUCUGGCUAAAUUCACUGAGAAACCGUUCAUCUCAUCUGAUUUAUAGUGUGUAAAGUUCCCUGGGAUUGUGUACAGAUUUCAGAGGAAGACAAAAAUGAAGCAAGAAAACCAGCCCUAGGAAAAAGAUGUUUUUUGCUUGGUUUAGGGUGGUAGCAGUAGUGGUGAAGAACUAUGAAUGGGUUUAACAUGUAUUCUGGAGUUAGAACUGAUAGGAAGUGAUGUGAAACAACGAGAGGAAGAGUGGAUCCAGGAAUGACUUUUGGGUCACUGAUUGAGAUGGAGAACCCAGGGAAAGAACAGUUUAGGAACGCUGAUGGAUGUUCUUUCAUGUCUCUGGACUGGCAUUUUCUCAAAUGCAUUCAUUGUUUGGAAUAUAUCCUUGUGACUUAUUCUUUUAUUUAACAAAUAUUUAAUAAAUGUCCAUUAGAUGCCAGACAUGAUACUAGAUGGUUGAUGUUUCCAGUAAAAAAGAAGAUGCAGCACCUGCCCUUAUAGAACUUCUAGACUAAUCAGAGAAAUAAACAUGUCAUCAGAGAGCAGAGCUCAAGUCAGAAGUUAUAUACGAAAAACUUCAGACGUAAGAAGAAUUCUGGGAUAAAAAUACCUUGAAGUCAUUGGCCGGCAUGUGACAAUGAAAACCUUGGAUGGACGGACACUUUAGAGUGGCAAGAGACUUAGAAUUGAGACAGCCAAGCACUUUCAGGAUCCAGUAUCCCAGGAUCAGAGGCAACCGAAGCUGAUGACAAAGAAGCAUAACUGGAAUACUAGCGGAACUAAACUCACAAGUCCUCACCUUGGCCUCACUGAUAGCUGAGUACCAGAAAGUCCUCCCAG